GGAAUUCUCACUUCCUGCUAUUCCUUUCGCUGUGCAUCCGGUUUCUAUCUAGGAAUCUUAAUGUAUUUGUUAUCAGAAAGGAAAAAGGGUUUUUUUUUUUGUUUUUUUGUUUUGUUUUUUUAUGUCUUCUCUUUAGUUAUAGGGCCCAUGAGUAUUUUAUAAGAAAGGUCACUAGGGAGCCAUCUAGUGACUUUUGCUUAGGGCAGUGGGAAUUGGCACUUGGUUUUGAUUUUUUAUUCCAGAAGGAAAAAAAAAACUCAGAAAACAAACAAAGAAAAACCAACCCAUACAUCUUACUGCUAAGUCCUGUAGUCAUACCUCCUGCCCCAUGCCCUGCUUUCACAUCAUGGGUGAAAAGGUAUUCAAGUUUCGUUUCAAACAGAAUGUCCUCUACAGUUAAUCAAUACAUAAAACCUGUGAAGACAUCGCUGCUGCUCCUGCCUGAACAUGCUGGAGCCCUCUUUAAAGAAUGAGCUGAGUACAUGCGCCAAGAAUGCUUUUUGGUUUUGUGGUUUUUAUCUGAUCUCUGGGAGAGGUUAAAAGCCUAAAUAUACAAUGUGC
rnacentral:lncRNA from 1 species